ACGGAGGGUCCGAGCGUUAUCCGGAUUUAUUGGGUUUAAAGGGUGCGUAGGCGGUUUUAUAAGUCAGCGGUGAAAUUUUCCGGCUCAACCGGGAUUCUGCAGCUGAUACUGCAUGGCUAGAGUCCGGAAGAUGAGACUGGAAUUCCUGGUGUAGCGGUGAAAUGCGCAGAUAUCAGGAAGAACACCGGUGGCGAAGGCGGGUCUCUGGGACGGUACUGACGCUGAGACGCGAAAGCGUGGGGAGCAAACAG
rnacentral:rRNA from 1 species